UGCCAGGGCUUUUCAUGUGUUGUGGGUAGAUCCUUGCUUAUCCCUAUCUGCCGCAGUGCCCUGCUUCUGAGGCUGUUCCAGGUUGUUCUUGGACCUCCUUGUCACUUUGUGUGCAUCGGGUCACUGCUGGACCUGUUGGUGCCAUUGAGCUGCCCCUGCUCUGGAGCUGUCCAUGCAGGUGAACAUGUGGCCUCGUUGUCUUCUCCAACUCCCACCUUGUCAUCCUCUGCAGAGCUGAUCUGCUUCUGCUGAUUUGGCUGAGAGCUUUCUCACCCUAUGAGCAAGAUCACAAGGAGUUUUGUGUCUUCACACUGUGCUGGAACAUACAACUGCUCCUCCCACAACAUGGCAAAACGGGGGCCUACACAACCUGAGACUUCCACUGAAGCAGCAAAAUAAUUUCCUGUAAUGUGAACACUGAGAAAGUAUAGAGUAACAUGUAUUGGCAGAUUGGCUAAUGUGCAUUUUUGAGGGAUCACUUUCUCUUUAGGAUCCUUUGAGGUAUACAAUAUUGGCAGUAAUAGUAGGUCUUGUGAUUAAUACUACAUGCCUCUAAGAAAUGGUUAUGGAAAGAUGGAAUAACGAGAGUGGGAAUAGUAUAUAACUGAGUGCAAGGACUGGAGGUAAAUAGAACUGGACAGGUGUGUUUGUAGUCCUAUAGGUGUGGACAAGUUUUAUGGUUGUGGAUGUGCAGCUUGAAGGAUGUUUGGCUGAAUCAUAAGCCAGUCUUAGUAAAGAAUGUCCAACCAUCAGGACCAGAGGCUUCUAAUAUAAAAACAGCAAAAGAGGGCCCUUAUGAAACCUGUCUAUAAAUGACUUAGAGAAGAGAUACAACAUACUUUUUUAAUGGCUUUUUAAUGACUGAAGUGCAAACUUUCCCCAUACAUGCAUAUAAUCAAGCACAGACUGUCUCUUUGCAUUUAAUGUAAGACAUCUUCCACUUACUAUCUUCCCACUCAGACCUACAGCUUAGACCACACCUGUACAUCUAUGUUUUGCUAAUUCUGUCAGAGAAAAAGAAAUCAUGAUGGUUUGAUUAACUGACUAGAGAUCAUGGUCAGGAAUAUAGGUCUUUCAUAUAAAAAUAAAAUGUAUUGCUCUUUCAGAA